CCUACGGGCGGCAGCAGUGAGGAAUAUUGGUCAAUGGUCGGGAGACUGAACCAGCCAAGCCGCGUGAGGGAGGAAGGUACAGAGUAUCGUAAACCUCUUUUGUCAGGGAACAAAGGCGGGGACGUGUCCCCGGAUGAGUGUACCUGAAGAAAAAGCAUCGGCUAACUCCGUGCCAGCAGCCGCGGUAAUACGGAGGAUGCGAGCGUUAGCGUGAUUUAUGGGGUUUAGAGGGUGCGCAGGCGGUCUGUUAAGUCAGCGGUCAAAGCCCGGGGCUCACCCCCGGCCCGCCGUUGAAACUGGCAGUCUCGAGUUGGAGAGAAGUAGGCAGAAUGCGCGGUGUAGCGGUGAAAUGCAUAGAGAUCGCGAAGAACUCCGAUUGCGAAGGCAGCAUGCCGGCUCCACACUGACGCUGAGGCACGAAAGCGUGGGUAUCGAACAGGAUUAGAUACCCCUGUAGUC
rnacentral:rRNA from 1 species